rnacentral:tRNA from 1 species
GGGUGAUUAGCUCAGCUGGUUAGAGCGCCACGUUGACAUCGUGGAAGUCACUGGUUCGAGUCCAGUAUCGCCCA